rnacentral:rRNA from 1 species
AUUGAACGCUGGCGGCAUGCUUUACACAUGCAAGUCGAACGGUAACAGGCCGCAAGGUGCUGACGAGUGGCGAACGGGUGAGUAAUGCAUCGGAACGUGCCCAGUCGUGGGGGAUAACGCAGCGAAAGCUGUGCUAAUACCGCAUACGAUCUAUGGAUGAAAGCGGGGGACCGUAAGGCCUCGCGCGAUUGGAGCGGCCGAUGUCAGAUUAAGGUAGUUGGUGGGGUAAAGGCCUACCAAGCCGACGAUCUGUAGCUGGUCUGAGAGGACGACCAGCCACACUGGGACUGAGACACGGCCCAGACUCCUACGGGAGGCAGCAGUGGGGAAUUUUGGACAAUGGGCGCAAGCCUGAUCCAGCAAUGCCGCGUGCAGGAAGAAGGCCUUCGGGUUGUAAACCGCUUUUGUCAGGGAAGAAAAGGCUUCUGCUAAUACCGGAGGCUCAUGACGGUACCUGAAGAAUAAGCACCGGCUAACUACGUGCCAGCCGCCGCGGUAAUAC